rnacentral:rRNA from 1 species
ACAUUGUAUUAAGUUUUAUUUAAUAUAGAAUCUGCUCAAUGAUUUAUUUAAAUAGCUGCAGUAUUUUGACUGUGCAAAGGUAGCAUAAUAAUUAGUCUUUUAAUUGGGGACUUGUAUGAAAGAUUUGAUGAAAAAUAAACUUUAUUAAUUAUAAAAUUAAAAUUUUAUUUUUAAGUAAAAAAGCUUAAAUAAUUUAAAGGGACGAUAAGACCCUAUAAAACUUUAUAAUUAAUUAAUUUUAUUUUUUUUGGUUUAAUUUUAUUUUAUAUAUUAUUUAUUUAUAAGUAAAAUUUGUUAAUUAUUUUAUUGGGGUGAUAAAAAAAAUUAAUAAACUUUUUUUAAAAAUUAACAUUAAUUAAUGAAUUAUUGAAUUAAAAUUUUUAAUUAAAGGAAAAAGUUACUUUAGGGAUAACAGCGUAAUUAAUUUUUUAAGUUCAAAUUUAAAAAUUAGUUUGCGACCUCGAUGUUGAAUUAAGAUUAAUCUUAGGUGCAAAAUUUUAAGUUUUAGGUCUGUUCGACCUUUAAAUUCUU